rnacentral:rRNA from 1 species
AUGGAGGGAAAACAACAAUGGGACAUGGUGGACCUUGGAUUCAAGCUUUGCGCUCUAGUUCUGAAGAGAGCAGCAGGUAGACCAAGGAAGAGUCGAAUCAGACCUCGCAGCGAAGGAGCUGGAUUUGGAGCGAGGAAGCGUAAGUGCACAAGGUGUGGUGGGUCUGGUCAUUUUGGCAAGUAUUGUGAUAACACAGUAGAUGUAGCGUUCGGAGAGAGGUUCGAUGAAGGCUUCGAUGAAAAUGUUGGUCAGCAGCCGGUUGCCUCAACAGAUGAUGAAAAUGAUGGUCAAGAGCCGGUUGCAUCAUAUGAGGAUUUUGACGAGGUUCGAAUUGAUGAUGGUCAAUAG